ACAGUCAUAUCACAUUGAAACACCGAUUCUCAUACAAUCACCAAAGUUAAGCAACUUUGAACAUGAUCAGUACCUAGAUGGGUGAACACUUGGGAAUAUCAAGUGCUGUAA